GAUGUAGUUUUUAUUUUUUUAUUUUUUUACUUGCAAAAUUAAGAAAAUACAAAGACACAUAUAUGAUCAUCAGGUGGUCUGGGAGCCAGUAACGUGACCUUCAGCUCCUUGUUUUUACAUUAUUACAGCGGAAAUCACAUAUAUACGUAAAUAAAGCUACGUAGUUGGAGGAGAGUGUACGAAGAUCUGUUUAUUAUAUAAGUAAUGCAUGAGCAGGGGAGAAUUAAGUAUGGAUGGUAAAAGGUAGAUGAAAAUAAUUAAUAGUUUAGUUUCGUACAAAUGUGCGCGGGUAGUAGAAGAUGGACGGACGGAUGGGUGGACGGAUAGAGGAUGAGGGCCUAUAUAUGUAUAUAUAUGAGUUUAAGUUUUAAUGGAAAUGCCAAACUGGGGAGCUUGAAUUAGGAGAUCUUUGAGCUCUUCGAAGGAGAUUUUGUUUUCUCCCUUUUUACUGCCGUAGGCAAUGGCACGUUCAGCCAUGAAACUUGGAGUAAGAGCACCCAGAUCGUCGAACAGCUGCUUCAGCUCUUCCUUGUUUAUAGUUUUGUCGUCGUUCGUAGCCAACCCUUCGAACAUCAUCUUCAACUCGUCAAUCUUCACGUUUUGGCUUAUCAGUGCCCGUCUUCUUGCCAAACGAGCCAUUUCUUCUUCGUCUCUUCCUUAAUUCUCUCUCUCUUUUCUUUGCUUAUCUAAUCUUUGCCUGAUUUGCUGUAUACUUGCAUGGCGCAAGUCUUUAUAUAACCAUCCUCAAGUGCAUGCAUCAACGUUACUUUCUAAAUUUCUAAGCGGAAGUCUCUAGAAGAUAAGUUUAAAUUUUAUUACACGCAUACAUUAAUUAUAAAAUAAUUAUUUAAUAAAAAAUAUAUAAAUAAAGUAUUAUUAAGUGUUAAAUAUUAGAGAUAAAGUGAAAUUACGUGUUUUUAUCUCUAUUAAAUAAAGUAUUAUUUAGUAUACGAGGGAAGUAAUUUAAAAAUUUAGAAAAAAAAUAAUAAUAAUAAUAUUUUAAAAUAUUAUUGUAAUUUGUAAUUAAUUAUAUAAUCUGAAUUAGAAAAGAAACGUCGCCGUUUGAUGUUAUUUGUCGAAGUUGGAAAGAAUAAAAAGUAGAGAUUAGUUUUGUGAAGUGAGAAUCUUAGAAAAAGCAGAUGCUUGAGUUACUUGUUGGAACAAGUGGAGAGGAGGUGGCAUCAUUCAUUGCGUCCUCAACAAUAUUACUCCAUCCCGAAAAGAAAUUCCAAGAAAAUUAAUCGCUCAAAUCUUAUUUAAGCAAUUAAUUAAUUAAAAAUAAACCUUCUAGAACAGUUCUCACAUAGUAUAUAACAGUUUUUACUUUUAACUUAACAAUUUCUAUAUAAUAAUUACGUACAAGAGAUGAUAUAGACAUGUAGGAGAAUCCUUUGGGUGGAGAAUAAUUAAAGGUGCACCGAGUUGUUGUUAUCUUGUAAGAUUCUUUCAUCACCACCUUUCGGUUUUUGUAUUUUUUUGUUUGAUUUAAUUUGAUUCUAUUCGAUUAUAAAGAUAUCAUUUUUUUCGGUUUAAUUUUGUAGACACGAAUAAAUAAAUUAAUUGUCACUAUCUAUUUCAAUAUGCGAUUUUUAAGAAUGAGUGAUUCAAAUAAAUUUACUUAAAUAAUAAUAUAAGUAGGAUUUUUUUGUAAAAAAAAGAAAAUACAAUCCUAAAGUAUUAUAAACUCUUUCUAAAAAAAAAACAAGUUUGUAAUUUGAUUAUAAAAUUUAUAAAAAUCGAAUAUAAAAAUUUACUUCACUAAAUUAACGUAGUAAUUUAAGUAUUAAGUGAUUUUCAACCAAUUUAACAAUGUUUUGCACUUUCUGCGAUUUUUACUAAAUUAUGAGUUAAAAUUAUCCUUAUAUUCUAUACAUAUAACUUAACUAAAGCAAUCGAGAUAUAUUCAACCAUAUCGAUUAAUUGAAGCAUCAAAUUUCAAUUUGUAAAACUCCAUUUGACUGAGGAGACCAUACUCAUUGGUGGAUCGAUGCCUUUACUUGAACAAGCAUCCCCUAAAACAAAUCCUCUACCCAAAGGCUUACCCCUCCAUAACACUAAGACAGAUACACAUACGUGAAAGAUAUGAUCGAUGGUCUAUAACGCUUCCCCAUGCAUCAAACAUAUAGGGUUGACUUGGACACCUUUUUCAUUCAACCUAAUUUGCACUACUAAUAUGUCUUUGUAGAGUCUCCAAAUUAUAUGCUUGACUAGAGGCCAAACCCAGUAUAAUGCUACAUAUGUUAGUUGGUUUCUUUUAUAUAUACAUAAGUCAUAUUUGUUGUAACAAAGUAUUUAUGUUGACAUAUAAGUGCUUUUUAAGAAAGACCAUUUGUGCUUGAAUGAAAGAUAUACAAGUUGGUAUUCGUCAUCAAUAUAAUUCAUGUUUUAUCUUUCAAAUUUUAGAUGUGAAUCUACAAAACAAUUGCUUUUCUUUUCAAGAAAAAGGAUUUAAAAAAUCUACGAGUUGGUGUUCAAAUUUUAACUUCAAUUUAAUUUGAAGGUUUUCAUUUCUCUUUUUCUUUAAUUUUCAUUUAUUCCUUUGUUGUUCGUUCCCUUAGUGUGUUCCUUUCUCUCUUUCGUUUGGCUUUCAUUCCAUUUUCUUUCCUCCAUCGCCAGGGCAGCGUCGUAACAGGUCGAGUAUUCCUCUCUUGCAUGUCCCACUUCAGUGUUUUCCCCAUUUUCCUUCAUCAACUCAGCUCACGCGAAUUUCUCCUCUGCACAUGCCAUGCCAAGCCUUAAAAGAAAUCUUCCCCUUCACAUGGCUCAGCCACCACCUUCCAUCUGGUGGAAGAAGACAAAAGCGAGUCUCCCCAAACUCUUGCGUCCGAUUGAAAGGUUUCUCCAAAACGACGUCGUUUUGUAGCAAAUUAAAAGAAUCGAACUGAACGGUGCCGUUCGGGCUUCUUCUGUUAGCAUUGGCUCCUGUUAAGGCUGUUAGUUUUUUUUUUUUUUGUUGAAUUAUAUUGAAACGGCGUCUAUUUAACCCCUUAGGGACUGGAUCCUCUAUAUCUAGGCCCGCUUUGAAUUCGACCUGCUGUUAUUCCUAAUUACGAUAUCAAAUAUAAAAUAUUUAGUUUAAGAUUGAAUAAAGUUUAUCUUUUUUUUAAAAAAAAAAAAUUCAUUAAAUGCACUUAAUAUAAAAAAUAAAAGCUUUUUUUCCUCAUAAAGUUAUAAGAGGAAAAAUAAAUAAAGAAUAUAUUGAUUUAAAGAAAAAUUAUUACAUUUGGUAUAAGAUAUAAAACUUUAGUACACAGAUAAUUAAUUAGGAAAUGAGAAGUAAAAUUCAUUAUUUUGGGAAUAGACAUUAGUUCUGGUAUGAGCUCUCAAACUUAUCACAGUUUAAUAUGAUGUUUUUAUAGUUAUUUUAAAUAUAUAUACCAUUAAUUAUACGAAUUAAAUUGAUAAUAUAUUUUUUUUUUCAGAUAUAAGAUGCUUUUAUUUAUUUAAAAUUUUGGGUGUUUGUACAUUUUUAAAUAUGGGUUUUGUCAGUAAGAAAAAUUGCACUCAUCUUUUUAGAGGAGUUGAACGAACCCUCCCAUGAAUAUGUCUGUGUGGUUGAUUGUGAUAUAGAAGAAGUAGAAACUUUCAAGUAGAAUAAAAACAGGAGAAGAAAUUCAACGUAUACAAAUACACACACACACACAUAUAUAUAUAUAUAUAUAUAUAUGGAGUAGAGAGAAAUUAGAAACUUUCCAUUAGACAGCAGGAAGUAACAAAAACAAGAGAAAACAUUCAUUAUAUAUAUAUAUAUAUAAAAUAAAGGGUGGGAGAUAUAUUAUUGGCUUAUUGAUGAGUUUGGAAGAAGGGUGCGGAUGUAACUUAUAAGUUUGCUAGGCCUUAAUGGUGUAUCCAAGAGAAGAAACGUAUUUGAUUAGUUUUGGAAGCUCAUUUUCAUCGACGAAGCCAUCUCCGUCGCCAUCAGCAAACUUCAUUCCACGCCAAGCUCUGAAUCCAGGAACUAAGGCACCCAAGUUCAAGAAAGCAAUCUUUAACUCUUCUGUACUCAAACGUUGGUCGCCAUUGGAAUCAAAUUUCAUCAAGGCAGCCUUUAUGUUCUCCUCAGUUGGGCAUUUGAGUGGCGCUGGUGCUCCCUUCCCAAUUAUAUGAGGCAUCUUAAACUAAUUCUUCAAACAAAUUUUAUACUAUUGAUUUUGUUUUUGUUGCUAUGAUCUUACAAAGCAAAUCAACAAGGCUAUUUAUAGAUCUUUUGCAAGUUAAUCUUUCUCAUUCAAAAUAUUCUCGCUUAUCUUCAAAUGGUUGAUGGAUAUAUAGCUAGAAUCUUUUUACUUCCUCAUGCACUGGCCGUGCGCCAAUGGGUAUAUAUAUAUAUAUAUGCUCAAAUCUAUUUAUAUCUACUUGGGCUCCACAGCAUGUAAUAUGUGUUCCAUUACUGAUUAAAGUGUGUUAAGGGAACACUUACAUGGGUGUGUGUAUAUACAUAUACAUAUAUAUAUAUGUGAUCACUUGAUAAUCAUCAAUUUAACAAGUAAACUAAGUUACAACUUACUUUUAUCUUUGGAUUGUAUUUAUACCUUAUUAUUGUGCACUUGGAGUGUCGGCCUUAAUUUGAAUGCAUUAAUGCUUAAAUGGAAUUAUUGCAUGGAUUUCAAUGUUUUUAAUGUGUCAUGUCAAAAGAUUCGGUAAUCCAAUUAAAAGAUUAGUUUGAUUAAGACAAUCACGUAACUAAUUAAAAAUUAAUAUCACAAUUAGAAUUAUCAAGAUAUUAUUAUCAUCACUAUUAUUAUUAUUUAUUUUAUUUUAACAAGAUUAAAUUGAGAUAUCAUAAUUAAAUUUUUUUUAUAAAAUAUGUAUCAUCUUCCACGGUAUCAUUUUAAUGAGGCAAGUUGACACUUCAGUUUUAAAGCAUUCAUAAUUAAAAAAUCUCAAGCACGAUUUAAGAUGGAGAAUGAAUUAAAGUAUGAUAUGAAAAAAAUCUUAAUUUAUCUUAUCAUAGUUAAAGUACAAAAAUAUCAUUAGGUAUUGGCCAAUACAUUUGGUAUCAAGUAAUAGUUGAUGUGACAAAAAAUUUUAUAUUAAUAUUAAACUGAUAUGAUUCGUACUCACUCAUAGAAUAUUAUAUUCAAAUAAUCUCCAUUCAAAAUUUUAUUUGUUCUUAAAGAUUACACUUUUUUAAUGUUCAUUGAAAAAAAUUUCAUAGUUUAUAAUUUUAUGACGUUAUUUAUAUUUAUAAUUAUUUUAAAUUUGAGAAAGCAGUUAAUAGAAAUCAUUUAAGCAUUAUUGUCUAUAUGUAAGAAAGUAUAAAUGAAAUCCAUCACAAUUAGAGAUGAACCAAAAAAAAAAAAUUGUGACCCAUCAAACCUGUAUUUUGAAUUAAGAACAAAACAUGUGUGUGUGUGUGUGUAUAUAUAUAUAUAUAUAUAUAUUUGAAUCAACACUGAGUUUAGAGUAGAUUCUGAGUUUAUGUAUUAUAAUUAUGAAUUAGAUUCAAAUUUUACAAAAAUUCCUUAUGAACUUGAUCUAUUACUAUCCCUAAUUAUAAUACAAAAUAUAAGAUCCUUACUUUAAGAUGAGAAAAAAUGAAUGAAGUUUACCUUAUUUUAGAUAUAUCAAAUUUCAUUUAAAAAAAAAAGUUUUAUCACAUUAUAACACAAUUGUCAAGUUGAAGCUUUUGUAAUUAUCUAAAAUAUACGUACUUCUUGUUAUAAGAACUAAAUUACAUAUAUUCAAGUAAGAAAUUUGUAAUAUUUUUUCGCAUAAGAUGCUUUUAUCUAUUUAAAAUUGACAGUGUUUGCUCAUUAUUAAAUACGUCUUAUUCAAAAAAAUUUAUUCGGUAAGAAAUUUUGUACUCAGUCAUCUUAGCUAUAUAUUAAUUUUUGGGUCGAGUAAGAUUUUGAAUAGAUAAUCCAAAUUGAAAUAUCAUCCAAAUUGAAGAAAUAUAUUUGGUUAAUAUAAUGUAUUGAGUUUAGAAAAAUCAUCGUCAAAAAUAUAAUAUAUUAUGAAGGUGUAUGAACUAUCCAUAUAUUUUUGUGGGUAUGUGUGGUAUACUGGAAGUAGAAAGAAACUUUGAAGUAGAAUAAAAAUAAGAGAAGAAAUUCAAGGUAUAUAAAUAUACAUAUAUAUAUAUAUAGAGAGAGAGAGAGAGAGAGAGUAGAAAGAAGGUAGAAACUUUCCAUUAGACAGCAGAAAGUAACAAAAAUAAGAGAAGAUAUUCAACAUAUAUAUAUAUAUAUAUAUAUAUAAAAUAAAGGAUGCGGGAUAUAUUAUUGGCUUAUUGAUGAGUUUGGAAGAACGGUGCGGAUAGAACUUAUAAGUCCUAGGCCUUAAUGGCGUAUCCAAGAGAAGAAACGUAUUUGAUAAGUUUAGGAAGCUCAUUUUCAUCGACGAAUCCAUCUCCAUCAUCAUCAGCAAGCUUCAUUCCACGCCAAGAUCUGAAUCCAGGAACCAAGGCGCCCAAGUUUGAGAAAGCUUUCUUUAACUCUUCUUUACUCAGACGAUGAUCACCAUUGGAAUCAAAUUUCAUCAAAGCGGCCUUUAUGUCCUCCUCAGUUGGGCGUUUGGGUGGCGAUGGUGCUUUCUUCCCCACCAUAUGAGGCAUCUUUACUUAAUUCUUCAGACAAAUUUUAUAAUAUUGUUUUUGUUUUUGUUUUUGUUGGUACGAUCUUACAGUGCAAAUGAACAAGGCUAUUUAUAGAUGUUAUCAACGUCAAACCUUUCUUUUUCAAAAUAUUCUUGCUUAUCUUUCAAUGAAUGAUGGAUAUAUAACUAGAAUCCUUUUAUUUCCUCAUGCACUUGCCAUGCACCAAGGGAUAUAUACAUAUAUAUAUAUAUAUAUAUGUAUAUGUUUAUAUAUGCUCAAAUCUAUUUAUAUCUAUAUGGGCUCCACGACAUGUAAUGUAGUAUGUUAAGGGAACACUUAUAUUUAUAUAUAUGUAUAAAUGAUCCCGUGAUAAUCUAACUUUUAAAUUUGAAUUGCAUCUAUACUUUAUUAUAAUUAUUUUAGAUAUUUCUCUACUAAGAUAUUUUUAUGUUUAUAGUAAUUUUAUUUGUGAUUAAAAUAAAAUUUAUUUUUAAAAAUAAAAAUAUCAUUUACAUCACGUAAGAAUAUAUAUAAAAAUUGAAUAUUGAAAAUAAUUUAAACAAUUUAAAAAUUUAAUAAAGUUUUUAAGCCAAAGAAAUUUUAAUAUAAAUUAUUUACGUGGUAAAACUUUUUAAAAUAUUUUAAAAGAUAAGCGAAACACGAAAACUUCUCAAAAGAUCCUGUGCAUUAAUGCUAAUGCCAAAACUUUUAAUAUUUAAAUAAUCUGUGUUUAAAUUGAUAAUACUAUAUUAUCUUACUAAUGAUCAAAUUAUAAAUACUAUUACGUGCUAAAAAUAAGCCGCAUUAAAAAUUCCAACACUAUAAUUUCCCAUUGGGCUUUAUCAAAGCCCAAGUGGAAUACGCUAAAGUCCAGGCCCAUUUUUACGAGUCUCUGUCUAACUCUUAACACCGACCCCAAACUCGACAUGUUCCUCUUCCCAAUUCACAAAAAUGGAGUUACCAAAGCCCGCAUUUUCCUUCAAUCCUCUCUCCUCACUCCCAACAUUCAUCAAUCACCAUUCCCACCGACUUGGUACGGAGCUUUCAAGCCGAAUCGACGAAACCAAGCGGCUCGCCGGAUCCCUAGCCGGAAACUUCUCACCGUUUCCGGCUGUUAACUGGCUUCAGCGUCCCGCUUUUCGGCCUCCCUUCGCUUCACUUGCACAGCCGAAGCAAGCUGCCGUCGCAACACUCAGCUCGGAGCAAGUUGCCAAAGCCCUUGCUGGCACUCCCGUAUACACCGUGAGUAACUCGAAUAAUGAGUUCGUGCUCGUGUCGGAUCCCAAUGGAGUCAAAUCCAUCAGUUUGCUUUGCUUUCGACAAGAGGAUGCGGAGGCCUUUCUUGCUCAGGUUGGUGUUUUCCAGUAAGAGUAAGGAAAGGAAUGGAAAAAGAGGGGAAGUUUAAACUCGUGUGUUUUCUGUGCGUGCCAGUGUAUGUGUUUGACUUUUGUUGUUACGUGGCAUUGGGUCUUCAGGUUCGGUUGCGAAGGAGAGAAUUGAGGAGUAAUGCUAAGGUUGUUCCCGUUAGUCUUGACCAGGUAAGGUCUUUAAGCUCACUUACAUUCUUAUUUUCUCGUGUUAACUCUCAAUUUGGUCUCUGUGCAUCUUAAUAUGGAGCCGUACCAAAUGAAUGUUGAAAGUUUCUCUUUCUGUGCAUCUUAUAGGUAUACUCGUUGAAGGUUGAAGGUAUUGCAUUUCGUUUCCUGCCUGAUCCUGUUCAAAUAAAGAAUGCAUUGGAGGUUAGUUCUUCAUAUUGUCUUGUAUUGACUGUUAAUUUAGUCUUCAUUAAAUAAUUAACAAGAAUUAAGAAAUUGUUCAUGAUUUUACUUUGAAAGUUGAUAAGUUUAUUAGUUAUCCUACAAUUCAGAUUGAGCAAUUAUGAGAUCAAACUGACAAUAUUUUCCUUUGUCUAUCAGCUGAAAUCUGCAGAUAUCAAUAGUGGGUUUGAUGGAGUUCCUGUUUUUCAGGUAUACAGUUAACAUGUUGAGUAAAUGCUGGUGCUUCAAACCGGAAAAUAACUAUCCUUCAGAUGGCAUGAUCAUUACUUGUACUUACAAAAAGAACAGCUUUUACAUAUGCUUAUGCAUGCAUGAUCACUUACAUGCAAAUACUUGCAUAGAGGGGUUAAGUGAUUUAUGAUUGUGUUUGAAUGCUUGCAAUUCAUUUAGUUGAAAAAUAGUUUAUGAAAGAAGAUUUAAUAACAGUGUCAGAUUUCAAUACUUCUCCAAAAAAAAAAAUGUUGGGACUCCAUUACCUAUUUACUUUUCUACAAAAGAAAUUAGAAACUAUUCCCUGAAUUCAUUUUAUUUGAAUGGUUAGACUUCUUAUAUUUCUUAUUUUCCUCUAGCAAUUUGAAAAUAGUUUGAGAUGAGCCUUUUCUUUUUAAGGUGCAUUGGUACAAACUGCUGCACCAUUUGCCAAUGUACCAAAAGAUCUAUAUGGUUUCUUACUUCCUUAUCACUGUGUUUGCAGUCAGAUCUUCUGGUAGUGAAGAAGAAAAAUAAGCGUUACUGCCCAGUAUAUUUCAAUAAGGUUCAUUUGUCCCAUAAAUCACCUUUUCUUAAGCUGUUUUAUUUUUGGAACAAUAUUUUAGAAGAAACAGCUUAGAAGCACAACAUAUUGAUUUUCCCUUCUCUUCCCUCUCUUUCCCCCAUGCAGGAAGAUAUAGAAAAGGAACUCUUGAAGUCCUCAAGGGUAUCAAGAGGACUGGGUGUUUCACAGCAUAUUAUGGUAUUACUUUAGCGUCAUAUCCAUUCUUUUUGCAGCUUUUUAAACAUUUGGACUAUAAAAUUUAAGUGGUCAAAGAAUAAUUACUGUACAGAAGAUCUAUGCAAUAUAUGAAAAUUUUAUCUCAUUUGUUGAAGGGAGGGUAGCGAUGGACUAAAAAGUUUGUGGAGGGAGAAGUGACACUUCUUUUCAACUGUGCUAUUCCCAAUUUUUAAAUCGAAUUAGAAGUCAAUGUAAUAGUGACGAUAAUAGUUUCAAUGUUCUCAUUUCAAAGAAUUGUAUACUCUAUUUGGUAGGUGAAAAGACUUUCUAAUUUCAUUUCUAAAUUGGUAUGUCUUUAUUAGUACAAACAUGUGAUAGUUAAACAUGAAAAUCAUAUUUGGAAAAUGGGAAUAAAAAUGUAACAUGAGUUGAAACGAAACAAUUAAAAAAGCUGUGUCCAACAUCUUCUAGAAAACUGUUUUUAUUUAUAUUUAAGUUCAACAUAUACAUCCACCACCGUACAUGUUAUUAUAUAGUAGUGUUUUUUAAUUUAAUGAAAAUUAAAAAUGUUUCCUUUAUGAAGUGAAGCUGUUGCCUUUCACAUCAUGUUUCUACACAGAUUUCAUUAUUUAUGCAUAUAGUAUUUAAGUACGAAAAUAAGUGAUUUGGUAAACAAGAUAAGAAACUUCUCAAAAUAAGUAAUUCACAGGUUUUGCAAACUCGAUGCGGAUUGCAUGUUUAUGUGGUUAUACUGGAAUUGCUCUUUUAUUUUUAUUACCUUGAUAGAAUCUUCUAGAAUCCGUGAUCUUUGGUUCUAACCUUUAUGUAUUUCAUUUAAGGGCCAUCCUCUCCUCAAUGAAGAAGAUAUAGUGCCCUCUUUCUAUCUAGGCCUCUGAGUAUCUAAAGUAUAAGUAAAUGAUUUGAUAAACAAGAUAAUGAAAUUUAAAGGAAAAUAAUUCAGAGUUUCACAAAAUUCGAUCCAAAUUGCACGCUCACGUGGUUAUAGUGGCAUUUCUCUUUUAUUUAUAUUCUCUUAAUUGUAUCUUAAGAGUCAGUAAUCUUUUGUACCGAGCUUUAUGUAUUUUGUUUAAAAGUCGUCCUCUCUUCAAUGAAGAAGACCUAGUGAACUUUGUUGAUAUUUGACUAAUUCUGUUUUCUACUCUCUCCAGAGGCUCACUAUCUUGUAUAUGAGUGAUAUCCCCUCAGUACCUUUUCUCCUCCAAAUGAAAUCUUCUUUUUUUGUUGAAAGAUAUGUGAUAUACUGGCAUGGGUUCAAAUCUUUCUUUGUACUUAACUGAUAAACAUUGGGCAUUUCCUGCCUUAAUAUCCACCAUGUUUAGUUUGUUCGUACCUUAGAUGAAACCAAUAAACUGAUGUGUUCAUUUGACAAAUGCAAGUGCAAUUAUGUAUACAACACCAGGAGUUUCUUAUUUUACUUUGAUCUAUUCUUUUUAAACUUUUAUCAGCACUUUACGCUCUGUAUAAUAUUUGUUAUCUAAUUCAGUCUGUUGAACAGGUUGGAAGUCUAGAAGAUGUCUGAGAAAAAUGGAGGUAAUGAGCAUGAUUAGAUUUAGUACAUUUCUGAUUAGAAAAGGAUUAGAAUCUGAAUCAGUUGCUUUGGUUUUAUCUAGAUGAGUGAGAGGAACUCAGGUUGGGGAGAUCUGAUUUUUAUUCCGCCUGGUAAAAGUCACUCCCAGCACAUCCAAGAGGUGGUCAAAGGAUGAGAUCAUGGAUAUAUUGCUUCUACUGAUGAUGUGGAGCUUCAGAAGACAGUGAAUAUCUUUUUUUUUUCUGCUUCCGAUCUCCAUGGUAAAGCAGGUCAGUCAUCAACACUAAAUGAUAAAUUACCUGCUUGUUGACACCCUUUCUCUCUCGCAAUGGAGAAAGAUUUUGGAAAGUAACAGCCUGUAUGGUAACUUGAUGAGGAUGAAUACAUUUUUAUUGAAAUUAAUACAAGAUAAAUGGCUCGCAUUUAAGUGGAAGAAGUAAGUGAAAUGCUAGCAUGUCAAUGCUGGUCAUUGGAAAUUGUUAUACUGUACAGUUUGAUGUUUUUAAUGAGUACUUUGUUAUUUAGACAUACUGUUGCAGAUGAAUGGACUUAGUCAAUGAAAUGCUAGCAUGUCAAUGCUGGUCUGGAAUUUUCUAGUUGUUUUUCAGCAUCUGAUGAAGCACUACAAAGGAAAAUUAGAAGUUGGGGGAAACUUAAUCUCAACAAUAGGAAGUUGUGAUUAUUGUCCUUUUCAACACUAGACUGAGUUUUAACUGCUUGCCAUUGUGGUUUAUUUUUCCAUUUAAAAGCUUUUUUUGCCUCCUUGGAUUUUUUGUACCCUGCUCUUUCUUGGGAAAUCUAGUAUGGUAUUCCACAAAUUUAUUGGGAUGAGUUUAUAAUGUGAUAGAAAUUUAAGUGUUCGUAUAAAAUUGAGAUCUCAACCACUUGGUUUUCUUUUUGUUCUCAUGUUUUUCCUAUACACUCUUGUUAUUGCAGCUGUGAGUAUUAUCCUGGAGCAGAUGAAUGCAAUUAAAAAUAUGUGGAAUUCCCUUUUUCAAGGCAAAAUUUCUAUGUUUACAAUUCUUUUAGAAUUCGAAUCGAUUUCAAGAUGAAUUUAGCAAGUUUAAAAUUCAUCAAAUAUGAUAUAAUUUGAGAAUGACUUUGAAAGACUGGAGGGAAAAAGGUUUCAGAUGUCUUUUGCAACUGGUAUUCAUGCAUCACAAAAAGAGACUACUGAAACAACUGGUGAGUAUGAAGUAAAUGUGCUCAUAUCAUUUCAUGAUAGUGAGUAUGAACGAGGGUUCCAAGCCUGCAGACCCCCGCACCUCAUACUUCGAGGGAUUCAGACUCUGUUUGGAUUUGUUUUUUUGUUGAAAAAACAUGCUUUGAAGUAGUAGAAUGCCUAAUUACUUACGUGCUUAAAUUUCAAAAGACUAGUACGUAUUAUAUUUUGUAUUCUUUGCAAAAGAAUAAAGAGAUGAUCGCUAAACAAAUGAUUGAACAUGUUAAGAAAAGAAAAGAAUGUUAUAUGUGAGUACAGAAAAAGUUGAAAGCAUACAGGAACGAGUAUGUGUUUUUCAUUGGUUAAAUUUCCUCUAGGUACAGAGGAGGCAGCUUAAUGCGUUACCAGACAUGUAAAUUCGACCUCUGUCGAUUGUAAGAACUCGUCGAGGGAGGGUGUUGAUUCUAAAAAAAAACAUGCUUCCAUUUUAAAACAUGUAAUUAAUCUUAAAACAAAAACUGGGAACGUGAGUAAAGAAUUGGGUGAGUGAAAUGGUGACUGUUCACCAAACCGAAAGGUCAUAGGGCGUGCGUAUAAUAAGCUGUGGAAAUAUGUUUUAGGUGAGGUGUGAUGUCUCAACUUAAAUCACGUUUUGAAUUAUAAAUUAAUGAUUUGAGUUUUGGUGGAUUUCUGGUAACGGCCAAAUGUGACCUUUGCACGUAGAGGAGGUCGACAGGCCAUCCGCAGAGUUGUUGGCGUCCUCGUCUACUUUGACCCGAUGAAUCUCUUUUACCAUUUUAACCUUUUUUAUUCAUAAAUGCUUUUAUCCUAAAAAUACUCAUUAAAACAUUAUUAUGUUUUCUAUAUACUAUUAAUAUUAAUAUACUAAUUGUCCCGGUUGAUAUAGUGACUUGUGUUAAAGUUAUGUAGACAACAUGAAACACCUAAAAAAUGCUUAUGCAAAGUUAUAGUUCCCAGUGCAAUUUGUUCAUUAAAAAUAACAAUAAUUCUUGUUUAUAUUUUUAUAAAAUUAUAAAAUUAUUAAAAUAUAUUUAGAAUUAGAAUAUAUGUAAAUACACAGAGAAAAAAUUUGAAGUCUAUUGUCCAAAACAUGAUAACAAACAUGAGAACACAGUUAUAAAUACCUGACAACACAAUAAUGUGAUUGAAAAGAUAAAACGAACUAUCAUUGAGAAUGUGAGAUGUAUACUCAAAAUGACUACCCUACUUAAACUAUUUUAGGUCAAACCUCUAUUUAUUAUAUGUUACUUACUGAAUCAAUCUCUUUGGUUCUUUUAAAUUAUGACAUCUUUGAAAGAGGCGGGAGGGCAUAGAAAGAAAUCUCAUACUCUCACUUGGUGGAUGAACAUAUCAUCCAAGUAAGUUUAGACCUCAAAAGGAGAAAAUUAAUAAGCAAGAUAUAUAUAUAUAUAUAUAUAUAAAUUAAUCAGCUGGGUAAAAUGAGUUCUCAUAUAAAGAUAAAGAUGGGAGAUGCCCACUUCUUGAUGUUGUUGGUAUUUCACUGGACCAUGUAGUUUGACUACGGUUGAUCUAAUGACAUGCAGACAGUCAAAACAUUUGUGUUUUGAUUACAACUUAAAUGAAUUUUACUUAAAAAGUAUAUACUAAAAAAAAUAUUAUGUAUCUUUCAUUUCUAAUUUUCUGUAUAAAUAAAAAGUGACAAUUUUUAAUAAUUAAUGCCAUGUGUUUAAAUUUACUUCUGAAAUAAUUAAAACACAAUAAGACAAGAACCUGCAAGCUAGAUGUAUAUAUAUAUAUAUACGUGUGGAUAAAAUUGCGUAUACGAAUUAGAGAAAAUCAAGUAUAGACUGUAGAGUAGUUGUUGAAGGGAGAAGGUCAAUUGGGGAAUUGUAGAUUUUGAGUUUCUUUUAAAUAAAAUUCAAGCCGGACCAACAGGCAGGCAACUGCCUGAAAAGUGAAAACGAAAUAAAAGCUUUAUUUCCUCAAAACUUCUUGUCCACAAGCCAAGCAAAUCCUAAACAAGGAACCUCUUGACACAUGUACCUCCCUCGUUGCUCCCAUUUUCCUUUUCCCUUCUUUUACUUCUCUCGUGAUCUCUUAUGUCUAUAUUUAUGCAUGUAUAUAUAAAGAGGUGGGUACUGGUAUAUGCUAGAAUAUGUACAUACAUGUACAUAACUCAUCUGCAGCCGAGAACAUGAAUAAACCCAGUUCAGCUUUAAAUUAAAUCAUAUCUUAUUAGAAUGGUCAUGGGUGAUAGUGCAGUCAGCCUCGAGAAGAUGAUCAUAAACAAGGCCAAUAUUCCUUCCAAGGCAUUGAUCAUCAGACUCAACCUCAUUUUCCUUGUUUUCUUCUUUCUUGUCUACGCUGCUCUUCUUCUCAGACCAUCUUCGUCUUUAUACUUUUACAACGCUGCAUCACUUGUUAGGUGCUCUUUGCGCGAGUGCCAUCACAAGGUAAGGUGAGCUAAAACCCAUUUUCAUUCGUAUAUUGAUAUUUAGGAAUUGUCGUAAGAGGAAGAUGUUGUGUUUUUCAGGUGGAGAGAGGAGUUAAAAUGCAGGCAGAGUUUGACGGGAGAAACCCCAUUAUGGACAACGCUGUAGAGCGUAAGAGUAAUUUGAGUAAGCUAGAGGUGGCUAGCUUCAUGAACGAGAUGGGAAGAGGAUUAAAGAUUGGGAUGAUUAACAUGGAAGACGUGGAUGUUAGUGAAUUGGAAGUUUAUGGAGAACUUAUACAAAUUCAUUUCAAGAGAGUAUCAGAGAAUUUGGAAUGGAAAGAUUUAUUCCCAGAAUGGAUUGACGAGGAGGAAGACAAUGAGAAUCCAUGGUGUCCGGAGAUACCAAUGCCUGAGUUGAGAAUAUAUAAGGAUGAUAUGGACGUAAUAGUAGCAAAGUUGCCGUGCAAGUACCCAGAUGAAGGGUGGUCCAGGGAGGUUUUUAGGCUGCAGAUGCACCUGGUGCUGGCAACAAUGGCGGUGAACAAGGGGAAAAGAGACUGGAAUAGGAGGACAAAAGUGUUGUUGUGGAGCAAGUGCAGACCGAUGAUGGAGAUUUUCCGGUGCGAUGAUCUGAUCAGACAUGAAGGUAACUGGUGGUUGUAUCAGCCGGCCGUCGCAAGGUUGGAACAGAAGUUGAUGUUGCCGGUUGGAUCUUGCAACUUGGCUCUACCCUUGUGGGGACAAGGUUUGUUUCCUUUUUUCAUUUCUAUUAAUUUUUACUUUCCUACAGGUUUCUUCUUACCUCAAAUUUUAAUAAUUUUCUUUAAAUAAAAAUUUUAUAUAUUAACAAAUAAAUAAUAUAUAACACUACUUAUAAUACAAUAAAAAAUAGUUUUUUAAACAAAAAUACACGAAAUAUAAUUAAACUCAAGAAUUAUACCAAUUAUUUAAAUAAAUAAUUAUUAAUAAAUAUUAAAAAAAAUUAUUUCUCAAAAAUUAAUGAUAAAUUGCUUUUAACCAGGGAUUAUUAUGCAUUAAAUAUUUGGAGAAUACAAUUAAUAUGGUCUCCAUUAAUUGACUUUUUGAAUUUUUUUAUAAUAAUUUUUUUUAAGAAUACUCUUGAAUAACAAAAUAAUUUUUUUCUGUAGAUAUAUUGUUAUAGUAUUAAAAAUGAAGAAACUAUAGUAAUAUAUUGUUAUAAUAUAAGGUUUGGUUGUGUUUGAUGAUGUGAAAAUCAUAAGUCGUCUCAAAUAAAGGAAAGAAUAUUAAUCAAGAAAAUAUGCGGGUUACAAUUAUUAGGUACUAACAAAUCUUCACAUUCACACAAUUUAAUCUUUAAUCAUCAUAGGCAUAUUUUCUGUGCGUAUUAUUUAGAAAGUUAUUAUAUAUAUAUAUAUAUAUAUAUAUAUAUAGUCUAUGUUUGGUGAUCACAACAUACCUUAUUAUUAUAUUGGAUUGUAUUGAUCAAUACAAACCCAUUUCUAUAUAUUGCUGUAUAUCAUCUUUCAAGCUAAAUCAAAAUGAUGAACUAUAAAUAAUUAUUUACUUAAGACAUUAUUGUAGCAUAAUUCUUUCUGAAAAUUUCAGAACUUUGGUUCUUACCUUGGUCUAUGAGAAUUAAGAAGAAAUUAAUUAAAUUAAUCAAGUUAUAAUUAAUUACAGGUAUCCACGAAGUCUACGACACUUCCAAGAUCGAAAGCGCCGUAAAAAACCCUAGAAGAGAAGCCUAUGCAACGGUUCUCCAUUCCUCGGAAGCGUAUGUUUGUGGUGCCAUAACUCUCGGCCAGAGCCUCCAAAAAACCGGCACCAAACGCGACCUUCUAAUUCUCGUCGACAACUCCAUCACCGACGCCAAACGUCAAGCUCUGGUCGCUGCCGGUUGGACCAUCCGACUCAUCAAAAGAAUCCGUAACCGCAGAGCAGAAAAAGACUCCUACAACGAAUACAACUACAGCAAGUUCAGACUCUGGCAACUCACUGAUUACCAUAAAGUUAUCUUCAUUGACUCCGACAUCAUCGUACUCCGAAACCUCGAUCUCCUCUUUUACUUCCCACAAAUGUCAGCAACCGGAAACGACGUCUGGAUUUUCAACUCCGGCAUUAUGGUGAUCGAGCCCUCCAACUGCACUUUCAAACUACUGAUGAAACUGCAAGACGACAUCGUUUCGUAUAACGGGGGUGACCAGGGGUUUUUGAAUGAGGUUUUCGUUUGGUGGCACAGGUUGCCUCGGAGAGUCAAUUUUCUCAAGAACUUCUGGGCUAACACUUCGGUUGAGGCCAGCGUUAAGAACCAUCUGUUUGCGGCUGAUCCGCCCAAGCUUUAUUCGAUUCAUUAUUUGGGUUUAAAGCCUUGGUUGUGCUACAGAGACUAUGAUUGCAACUGGGACAUUGAUGAUCAACGAGUUUAUGCCAGUGACGUGGCGCAUGAAAGGUGGUGGAAGCUGCAUGACGCCAUGGAUGAGAACUUGCAGAAACAUUGUAGAUUGACGAAACGGAGGAGGAUCGAGUUGGAUUGGGAUAGAAAGAAAGCAAGAGAAGCUGGGUUUAGUGAUGAGCAUUGGCGGAUCAAUAUUACUGAUCCUAGACGGACCCUUUUGACUUAGAUACUCUAAUUUUCUUAUAUAUAUAUAUAUUUCUUUGUUGAAGAUUUUUGCUAGCUAGCUGUAUGUAGAGAAUUGUAUGGAAUUCUUUUUCUUUAUAUAUAUAAUUUAUGUGUGAAUAGAUGAUCAACACCCAGGAAACCACUUUAUAUCCGUUGUCUAUUCCUCCUCAUAUUAUUUAUUAUUAUAUAUUAACAUUUAUCAUACAUGAACUGUAUAAAAGAAUAUAAAUAUAUACGUGUUUGGGACUGUUAAUUUUGUUGCAGAUUCCUUCGCGAUGUUCUUUAAAAAAAAAAAUUUUUUUUAAAAAAAAGAAAAAGGUGGACCAGCUCCAUAACGGAUUAGGAAACAAAAGUGUUUUCAUUAUUUUAAAGGGAAAAAAUAUUUUUCAUAAUUGUCUGUUUGACGGUGACAGCAUUUUACUUAACCUCUUGUUCGUCGCGCGUGGCCUUCAUUUUGCUGUCACAUGCAUAUUUAUUUACCAAAUUGCCAAUCUCCGUUGAGCGUUUCCGCUACGUUUAUUUUGGUAAUUUGAAUAAGUUAUGAGGGUAAAAAUGUCUUUCGGUCAACGCUCAUCUUAACGGACGUUGAAGAGACAACUUUCCUUAAUGGACGCCGCCUUUUUUUACUUAUUUUCCUUUUUAACUGUAAAUAAUUUUUUAUUUAUUCGCUUUAAAAAUUAGGAAACCCACAGCCUUUUGAUUAUACCCACCAUUAAUUAUUAAGAAAAAAAUAUAUAUAAAGCUAAUCUUAAUAAAAUAUUAUAAGAACAACUUUCUUGUAUUUGUUUUUAAUUGUAAAUUUUCAAAACUCUGUGAGAGGUUGAAAUGAUGGAUUAGAAAUAAGUUAAUUUGGUUAAUAGAAUGAUUAAAGAAGAACCAUUUAUAUAGUUCUUCAAAUCCAUAAUUUGAUUUGUUUUAUGUCAUUGUCUGUCUUAUCUCUAAUGACGUUGUAAAAAAAAAAAAAAAAAAAAGGAAGGGUGGGCAAGCUGUCAAAAAUGUCUUCUUCUGGUUUAAACAUCUUGUGGUCAAAAACCCCGAAAGGGGAAAGAACAAGUAUGAAAGCCAUUACUAUUUUUAAACCCUAAACGAAUUUUCUUUUUGUUUUUGUUUUUUUGGUUUUUGGGUGAUUUUAAUUUUUUUUGUGAAGUUAAGAAAAAUUUAAAAAUCUCAUCUUCAAAGAUAGAAAUGGCGAGCAUACAGAUGGAUCUAGUCUGUGAUAGAUGAGCUAUGCUCCACGCACGUGUUUCCUCUCCGUUCUUUUCUCUUCCUAUUUUUGCCUCUUUAACUUUCCCACCUCUCUUUUCACUAACGUAUAUAUUCUCUUUUCCUUUUUUCCUUCUCUUUUUACUCUCUGAAUUUCCCGAAAUUCAUUCAUCUAUCUUCUUCCUUAAUCCUGGUACGUUCUUUCUAUUUUCUAAUCUUUCUUUAAUUUGCUUGGUUUUGGAUUCUCUUUUCUCUUUAUCCUUUGCUACCUGUUGAUUAAUAUCGACUUCACGAGUUUGAAUUAUUGGUGUUUCUCGAUCGGAUGACGAUAUAUACGUUGGCUUUCACAGCUACAAGAUGACGAAUCAAGUUUCAACUUCAAUUAAUUGAUGAUGUUUAUGUUUAUCAUUUAUUUCCACUAACCCUCCGUUUCUUAAAUGGUUGCUUUGAGCAUGUUGGAAUUUAUACCAAUUGGGUUUUUCUUGAAUUUGCCAACAAAAGCAGGUUUUGAUCCAACACAAGGUUUUGUUUCCAAAUUUGUUCUCAGGAGCUGACAUGUUGGGUAAUCUAGUUAUUUUAAGAUAAUGAGUAGUCUAAUUUACUCCCCUCAAAUUAAUCAAAUCUUGAAAGAGGGUUAUUUUCGUUGUUCUAUUUUGUUUACUGCUAUUCCCUUCUUUUCUCAGCUUGCAAACUUUCAUGGAACUUAACAUUCAGUUAUUUCUAUUUGCAUAUUAGUUUCAUAAUCCAAUAGAUAAUUGAGAGCUAGUUAGUGAUUAUAAUUAAUUUUGUAGCUCAAGCUUAUAAUAACAGUAUUUGAUCGCUGUUUGCUUAAAAUUCUUGUGAAAUCAUGCAUUAUGACUUGAUUGCAUGUUUGAAUCAUACCUGGUCUCAUUUUGGCAGCAUCUAAACGUGGAAAUUAACAUUAGCUGUGGAAAACAAAGAUCUAAUGCUAAACUCUUGAUACAACAAGGCUGGUUUUCUAUAUAACAUUUUGAUUUAUUGAUUAUAUAGUGAAUUAAAUCCAAAUCAUUUCUUUGGCUAUAAUAUUUUCUUUAAUCUAAGAAAGUCACAUAAAUUAUUUUUUUUCGUUUUCCAAGAAUUACUUAAAUUAAACUAUAGUUUCUCUGCCCUCCUUUUGCUGCUCCUUUACUAAUUUCAUUUCCAUUUUGUUGGAUAUUUCAGUUAUCUUACGUGGGCUACCUUGAAAGACUCUUCAAAUGGAGGAUGUAAAAACUUCUGAAGCAAUAGCUCCUCUAGGACCCUCUUCAUCUUCUGAGGAUAAUGCUCAUGCUUCUACCGAACCUCCAAUGAACCCAAUUAAUGGUAAACUCGGACCUGACUCCCAGUCAUCAGUGGUCGAAAAUUCGAAAUCAUCAUCUGCAAAAGAUGCUUCUGGUGAUUCACUACAAACUCUUCUGACGGAUAAUUCUACUUCCACUUUGGCACUUCCUCAUGAGAUCAAUCAUCAUAAUAUUGCGUUGGAAGGUUCUAAGACUGAGCAAGACACACUUGAUGGUCAGAGAUAUCGAGAUACUGAUUCUGUUGUCAGUGUUGAUGCUCGUCCUAACGAAGUACUUAUAGCCUCCACUUCCUCUCCUAAGGGAAGAGAUAAUGAAACUAAUCAACAUGUAUUGCCAUGCUAUGAAGUUACCCUGCCUGUUUUGAAGGUUAACAAAAUUGCUGUUGGAUCACCAAGAGCUAUGGGAUCAACUAGAGCUGUGGGAUCACCAAGAGCUGUGGGAUCACCAGGAGCUGUGAUAAAUAAUAAAGGUGUGUUGAUGGGAGAUUCUGACAGUGGAGGCACAAAAGGUAAUUGUCAAGCACCAAGAGUAGCUGAAUCACCCAGAGCUGCCGGAUUUCCAGGAGCUGCCACAGGGGGAUCUGUGACAAAACAUCCUGGGUCAGUGAUAGAGGAUUCUAAAGCCAAUUUCAUGCUUGAUACUUCUGAAUCUAUGGGAGAUGUUUCAUCACCGAAAGCUCUUACAGGCCAUAAAAUUACAGGGACCACAGAUUCUAAAACUGAAGGCACACAAUCUCAUCUUGCUGGUUCUAUUAGUUCAACCCGAGUUCGUACAGAUGACUUGAAUGUACCUUCUACUUCAUCUCCGAAAGUAAGAAAUUCCAACAAUGAUCACCAAGCACAGAUAUCCAAUGACCUUACUGAACCCCAUUUGAGGGUUGCUGGGGCGACUGUUGGAUCACCCAGAAGUUUUGGAUCACCAAGAGUCAUUUCACCGAGGGCCAUGUCACCAAGGGCAAUGUCGCCGAGGGCCCUUGGAUCCCCUAGAGCUGUUGGAUCACCAAUAGCUGUUAGAUCUCCAAAAGUUGUUGACUUAAACAGAGGCCUUAUUGAUACAGCAGCACCUUUUGAAUCUGUUAAAGAAGCAGUUUCAAAAUUUGGAGGAAUCACUGAUUGGAAAGCCCAUAGGCUCCAAACUGUAGAGGUAUGUUUUUCUUGGAUUUCAAUGUAAGAUGCUGCUUCGUAUCAAUUAAGUAUAGCACCUUCUAAUCAGCUUAUGGAGGUAUUUUCGUAAAGGGAUGUAAAAGGAAAUCCUUUCUCAAAUUUGUUACUUUUUAUAUGAUGAGUAUGUUUGGUCGAUUCAUAUAUAUUUCUAAUAGUAUGUUCUUGGAGUCUCAACUUGGUUGCUAUUUCUCCAAAACUAAAAUUUUGAGCAUAUUUAGUGAAUUAUUGUAGGUCUAAUUGUAUUUUAUUGGAUAUAGUGUAUCCUGGAUAUGUAGUAUAGUUAGGUUUAUUAUUUUGGUUCCCUUAUCAUCCUAUUUGAGUUUACUCUUUAAUUUACCACAAUUUUAAUAUUUGAAUUAACGUAGUGACACCUUUAACUCAUUGGAGGAAGAUUGCCAAAUCUACUUCUCAAAAUAAAAAUUGAAAAUUCUCCUCCAAAGGAAGUAAAGUGGUCCAAACAUUAAAGUGAUGAUGCAAUCAUAUAUCAACUAUUUAAGUAAUUAGUUUAGAAUAAAUUAAAAAGUUGUGCGGAAUUUAUUUUUUAAUCCAUAUUUAUUUUGACUAAGAUGAGAGGAGUCCUAACUAAAAUGAUUAAGUUUGAGUUCAUAUGAAAUUGUAUAUAGAACUUUUUGAGAUAAGAAAUUGUAUAUAGAAUUAAAAUAAUACAUUUUAAAUUUGAUGAAAUCUAUAGUACAUUGUCUUGAUUUCAUAUGGAAUUCCCUGUGAACUCAAUUGUUUGUCAUCCUAAAGAUUUUACAUCGUCUCCUUGUUGAUUUAAGUGUAGAUUUACAAAUAAAUUUCUUGACAUUUUUAAAUUUGUUCCAUACAUAGUGUUAGCGAACGAACAAGGUAAAAAUUAGGAGGAGAAUAAACUAAACUGUGGAUUUGUGAAUGUUUCUUUUGUAAUGGAAAGUUAUUGCUGUGAGAGAAAGUUUGUUAUGGAGAAUUGUGGCAUAUUGUGAUUGUACAGAUGAUUGUGGCGACAGAGUAGUGGUCUUGAAAUGCAAGACUUAUCUAGAUGUAAGGUAUUCUGUAGGAUCCUUUACAAUUCAGCCCUAAAAACAUUUGCUUCCAAAGCACUUGCAUGACGAUGUGCACUAUUUUCUAUAGGCCUAUCUGACUCAAAGUUUAAUGGAUUUAGUUGCCUUGGCAUUUGAUGUUCUGUGGUUGUUUAAUGGACAGUUUUCAAAGUUGCAUCUACAAAUCUCAUUGGGUCAUGAUUUGAUUAUUGUAAUGCCUGGAUAAAAGCAGCAUGGGUCCGCCAAUUUUUUCAUCCUUCCCUGGCCUUGAAAAGGUCAAUUUUAUGUUGUUGACUAGAGCUCUUAUAUCAAAUUCUAAAAUCACACAUUUCUUACGUGAAAUUGGAAAAUCAUGAUUAUGGUCCCUUGUUGUGUUGGUCACUGAAUGUGGUUACUGGCUACUGUACUGCUGUGCCUUGAUGCAGAUAUAAUGAAGGCGUCUUUCUAAGCAUGCAAGUAUUACGAUUUAACAAAUACUUGGUACGAUUAGUAGAAAGAGAAAGAGACAAAGGUCCUAACUCUUAGUGUGAAAGUUUCAUCUUUUUCCUAUCGCUGCUUUGCUUCUUGAAUUGAUAUGCAAAUAGUACAAUGGCUUCCCAACUUUCUCCCUAAUUGCAUUUGAUUGAGCACUAUCCCUGCUUAAGAGAUUUUAGCAUCCUCAUGUUCAAUAAAAGUGACAUGAAUUUCUUUCUGCCGUAUAGAGACGUAAACUUGUAGAACAAGAACUUGAUAAAGUACAGGAGGAGAUGCCCGAGUAUAAGAAACGGUCUGAGGUUGCUGAAGAGGCAAAAAUGCAAGUACUCAAGGAACUAGACAGCACAAAGAGACUCAUAGAGGAUCUAAAGCUAAACCUGGAGAGGGCACAGACAGAAGAGCAUCAAGCAAAACAGGAUUCUGAGCUUGCCAAGCUUAGGGUGGAAGAGAUGGAACAAGGGAUUGCUGAUGAGGCUAGUGUUGCAGCCAAGGCACAGCUUGAGGUUGCAAAAGCCAGACAUGCAGCUGCAGUUUCAGAGCUGCAGUCUGUCAAGGAUGAGCUGGAAACACUACGCAGAGACUUUGAUUCUUUGGUGGCUGAGAGAGAUAUGGCUAUGAAGAAAGCUGAGGAGGCUAUGUCUGCGUCCAAGGAUGUUGAGAGAACAGUGGAGGAACUGACAAUAGAGCUUAUUGCUACAAAGGAAUCCUUAGAAUCUGCACACUCUGCACAUCUAGAAGCAGAAGAACAAAGAAUAGGGGCAGCCUUGGCAAGAGACCAAGAUUCUCACCAUUGGGAGAAGGAACUGAAGCAUGCAGAAGAGGAGUUGCAGAGGCUAAACCAGCAAAUUCUUUCUGCCAAGGAUCUCAAAUCAAAGCUAGACACUGCUUCAGCCUUGCUUCUUGAUUUGAAGGGUGAAUUAGCAGCUUAUAUGGAAUCUAAACUGAAGGAGGAAGCUGAUGAAGACUCAAAUACUGAAUUAGAUGCAGCAGAGAAGAAAACUCAUACUGAUAUACAGACAGCAGUUGCUUCAGCAAAGAAGGAGCUUGAAGAAGUGAAGCACAAUAUUGAGAAAGCAACGGCUGAAGUGAAUUGCUUGAAGGUGGCUGCUACAUCAUUAAAAUCAGAGCUUGAAGAGGAAAAGUCAGCACUUGCCACCAUCAAACAAAGAGAAGGAAUGGCAGCAAUUGCAGUUGCUUCUCUUGAAGCUGAAUUGGAUCAGACAAGGUCAGAAAUUGCUGUUGUUCAAAUGAAGGAAAAAGAAGCUAGGGAAAAGAUGGUAGAGCUCCCCAAGCAACUACAAAGGGCAGCAGAAGACGCUGACCAGGCAAAGUCACUUGCUAAGUCAGCACAUGAAGAGCUGCACAAGGCAAAAGAAGAAGCAGAGCAAGCAAAGGCUGCAUUGAGUACCAUGCGAAGUAGAUUGUUUGCUGCUCAGAAGGAAACAGAGGCUGCCAAAGCUUCAGAAAAUUUGGCCUUAGCAGCUAUUAAGGCAUUGCAAGAGAGUGCGUCUGCUCAAAGCAGCAAUGAUGUCAAUUCAAAUUCAAGUGUAACACUUUCUUUAGAAGAGUACUAUGAGCUUAGCAAGCGUGCUCAUGACGCUGAGGAGCAGGCCAACAUGAGGGUGGCUGUUGCCAUUUCUCAAAUUGAGGUAGCUAAGGAGUCUGAGUCAAGAAGCUUGCAAAAGUUGGAAGAAGUGAAUCGGGAGAUGCUUGCUAGAAAGGAAGCAUUAAAAAUUGCAAUGGAAAAGGCUGAGAAGGCCAAGGAAGGAAAGUUGGGUGUUGAACAAGAGUUGAGAAAGUGGAGGGCUGAGCAUGAGCAACGCCGAAAGGUUGGUGAGUCAGGUCAUGGAGGGAACCCCUCAAAAAGCCCAAGAGCAAGUUUUGAGGUGAAGAAAGAAUCAAAGAACUUUGACCGGACACCAUCUGCUGUUGCCCAGCAGAUGACAAGCCCAAAGGCAUAUGGGCAUGGAAGUAACCCUGAAAUUAAUCCCCUCCCUGAAGCAAAGAUUGGAAAGAAAAAGAAGAAGCCUUUGUUCCCUAGGAUUUUUAUGUUUUUGUCCAGGAGGAAGUCACAUUCGUCCAAGUGAUGUAGCUUUUGCUCAAACCACAUAUAUAUGGUCUUUACUGUUAUGAUUUUAUAUCUCUCAUUGGGCUGGGUAUCGUUUAAUAGCCCUUAGUAUGUAAAUGGUGGUUACAUUUUUGUCAUGUAUGAUAUAGUUACCAGAACAUAUUUUUACUCAGUGAAAAAGGAUGAUGUUGUUGGAUAUUGGUGGCUGUGGAGGAGAGACAAGUUUGUUGGUAGUGUGUGGCUGACGAAGCCAUAAGAUGGUUUUAUCAUGUAUGUAAUUGUGACAGUUUGAACCUACUCAUGUAAAAAAUUUGAGUUUGGUCCAAUGAAAUAACUCUUUUUUGCCUGGUUUUUUGUUUAGUUGAAAUGCAAAAUUAUAGUGAUCUGUUUCGGAUGGCAUGAUGUGUGGAUGAAGUAGAAAAGUUUUCCUCAAUAUUGUGAAAAUGCUAUUUUAUAAACUAUGAAAAAAAUUACAGUAUAGGUUUUGAUUGACUUUACUUGCAGCAUCUUGCCAAGGAGCUUAAAUCUCUCCCCAAUCUGAGAAAGCUUAUUACCAAAUUCGGAAAAUACUAUUUCACCAAACAACUCAAGAAUGCUGUCAUUGCAGACAUUGAAAUGAAUUGGAAUAAACACUAAAGUGAGAGAUUGAAGAAUUAAACUUUCUUGUGUACAAAAUCUUGGAUGAUGAAUCUGAAAAUAAAAGUUUGCAGAACUUGUUUGUUUCUUACAAGCCAAAUGAUAUUGCAAAGAUGCCAUUUUACGGAAUACAUUGAAGAAGCACACUAGUGGGUGAGGACCUGAAUGAUAGUGUUGUGCCAUGGAUUUGAGAGGUGCUGCACAAGGUUGUCAAUAGGUCCUGCAUGAGUCACAUAAGCUUGGACAAAAAUACCAAGCAUUGCAAUCAUUGCAAGUCUUCCUGCAUAAAGACUUUGAGCUUAAAGACAGAUAGGAUAACUAUAAUAAUGCAGCAGCAAGUGAACAAGCCUCACCAUUCUUGAUUUCUUUCAGUUUCCAAUCAUGGGCAUUUCUGAUGUCUUUGGCAAGACCAAGUGGAUUUAGCAGAGGACCUCCAGGGUAGCUGAAUAAACAGAGUGCAGUUAAACUCCAUAUUUUCUCAAGGCGUAUAUGUGUUGGAUCAAUUUGGGUAAAAAAAUCCUGUGUUCUUAUAUCAAGAAUGGUAGAAUCUUCAAGCUGGUAGGAUGAGCAAGUGAGGAAGAAAAAAAUACCCAGGUUCAAGUCCUUCUAAAGCUGCUUCCAAUCCAAAGAAGGAUCCCUCUUUGGCUUGAGAUCCAGGACUAAUGAAAUCCAUAUACCUUUUGGUUUCCACGAAUCUGUCCAGAAUUCCAAUUCAGAAUUUACAACGAACAAGACGCAGAGGAAGAAUUAACUAAGUAAAUUUACCCCAUCAACAAUAGCUGGACGACAAUCAAAGUCGUUGUGCUGGCAAAUUCAAAUUUCACGGCACCUGCUUCAUACCAUACUGGUAUGUUGCUGAUUCCUGUCACACGAAGUAUCUGCAAACAAACAGUCACUACUCCCCAGAAAAAGACAUAUUCAUUUAAAGAUGCAAAUGGCACUUACAUCAGUGAACAAAAUUCCAGCAACUCCAACCAUGGCAAAGCGAGCAUGAACUAGCUCUGCCUGCACAUACCACUUCAAGCUUUCCGGAUCUUCCCCAAGCCCAAGUGGGUCAAACCCAUAAUCUCCAGCCAAACUUCAACCAUUCAAAAAAAAAAAAAAACAACCUCAAACAAUAAAUCGAUUACGCAAAUCAACUCCAACCUCAACAUAGACAAAUGGGGCUCACGUUCCAUCGAGAUAGGGAGGAGGGUCGAGCCCAGGGAGCCACGUGGGUCGCUGCUGAGCUUCAACUACCACUGCGCACGUCCUUGGCUUAGUAGACCAAGAUGUGCUUGUGACACCAAAUGGCUCUCUGUGUAUGUUGUUGCAGAAAAAAGAUGAUGAAGAAGACGAGCGUGGCUGGACAAAGAAGCUUACUCCUGCAACCGCCAUCUUCUUUCGUCUCUAACCACUUACACAAUUGUCAUUCAAUGAAGAAACUUGGGUCCACUUUUCUAACGCUUAGCGCAACCCAUUACAGAUAGGGUGGCUGAGCCUGAGGUAGACAACUCAAGUAAAUCUUAUUUAACAAGAAUGUAAAAUAGUAAAAGGAAUUUAUCUUGCACUAAGAGAGUCUCUACAUAAAUUCUUUUCAUACAGAGAAGAGAAAGCAAUAUCUGCUUUCAGUAAUAACUAAACAACCAAAUUGAAAAGCUUGAGUUGGGAAUCACCCAAAGUACUUGACACAACAACAGAUUUAUCUGCAGCACGACUACAAACCUAAUGAAACAGAGAUCUAAAAACACAGUGGACAAGUUCUUCAAAAAUCUAAAAAUAAAGUGGUCAUGACUAGGGUGACAUCCCAGCAUGUCAUCGCCUGCUAGACAUGCUGAAGGAGCUGACUUUCAAUGGCGUUGCAAUCACCAGUGGGGCAUCGGGAGAAUCAGUGACUGCAAAUUUAUCGUGCAUGAAACGACUAUCGACAAUUGAGUCAUCCUUUAGAACUAUCUUGUAACAGUAGCAGCUCUUCAGACCUUCUUGAUUACGGUAGCAUUCAUGAGACCCAUUCUUGACCUGUUGAAAGUUCCAUAUGACACUGAACUUGCCCACUGUUGCAACCAAAUGGCGCUCCUGCUUCCCAUUUUCUGUGACCUAAGUUAUUUAAACAUACAACUGUUAACAUCCGAUGACCUAAGUUUCUAACAAAUAAGUACCCUUAUAAAAUAUAAUCCUAGAAUUCCUAAGUAACAACAGAGAAGAACAAAAAUUUAAUAGGAAAAAGGAAAAAGAAAAGCAACAUCAGUUACCACAUAAAGCUUGUCAACGGCACUCAGAAACCAUUGUCCAAAAACAAAGCAAAUUGCGUAAUUUGAAAGGAUGGGCAAAGCACUUAAGCACAAAACAAAAUGGUCAUAGUAGGCAGAAUAUUCGAACAAAUCUCCUAGUUCUAAAUUAAAUGUUCAGAGCAGGAGAUAAAAGCAUAAGAUAUAUGUAUCUGCAUAUGCUUACCCACGAAAACUGAGCACUACGGAACUUGUUAUUAACUCCGGCUAACUGCGAAUCUAAGGGAGACAACUUCAACAAUCGUGGAGCUGCAAUUCUAUUUCCCAUACGGCCAUUAAAGCCAGUCUUCAUCUUACCAUCUUUGUCAGUAAAAAGCGUGCAGAUGAGAAUCAAAUAUGUGUCAGUUGUACCCAAUAUCCAUUUCCCAUCAAAGGUAACAUCCACAUGAGUGAUAGGUGAACCAAGACCAGGAAAAGCUGUCUUUGCCUGUCUCAUUGAAUUGCUAGAGUAGAGUCUGAUCUUCCCAUCGAGAGACCCAACAACUAUUGAGCCAUCACCAGUCGAUGCAAAGCAUUGGAAGUUAGUCCCUCUGGAAAAUUGAUGUCCUUGGGCCCAAUUCAAAACAGGGGUAUCGGCAGUCGCAAGAUUUUGAACCAUGCCUUUCCGAUCACGCAUGUCCCACCUGCAAAGUCUGUUAUCAUCCAGCCCCAAAAACGUUGAUCCAGAUGGGUCCAGUUGGGCUCCUUUGCUAUCAUUUGCAAUAUCCCUCAUGGUGAUAUCCACUCCAUCCUUCUCAAAUCUCCACUCUGUAACAAUUUUACCGGUUUCAAUAUCAAGCUGAUGGAGUCCAGUAGAAUGAGGUUUCUUUACAUCCAUGGGGCUCAUGAGCAGCAUAUUAGUCUCAGCCCUCAUAAGAAGAGCCUUUUUGGGUGUUGAAUGAACCAAACUCGAGCCACUUCUAUAACUCUCCGUAUCAAAAUUCACAUACACACCUUUUCCAUGAAUCCCGUGACUGAAAUUCUUAACAACCUGAAUACCAGAAUUACCCACCAAGAAACUGUUAUCCAAAGCACCCAGCGCCAAGCUUUGUAUGCCAUCAUUCGCUGCCUCUUCAAAUUCCUGUCUCAAAUCCUGACUUGCCCGAACUGGCGUUGAAGCUUCGGGGCUUUUCAGUAAACUAUCGUCAGCAUCUUCCCACAUUGAAUCAUCGGCGAUUUCAGGGUUUGCCCACCCAAUAAAAUCUUUCCCAUAUACCUUAACUUUGUUGACUUCGUUUGAUUCAAACCCAUAUACGUUCUCAAACAAACAAUCAUUAUACUUGGUUACGAAACCUUUAUAAUCCUCAUCAGAAAAAAAUUUCAUAGCCCAAACACCUUGAGCAACAAAAUCAACUCGACGUUGUUCUGGAAAGGUCUUCAAAUACGUCUCUUCCGACACUUUCACUCGAAUCUUAGAACCAACCUUCAGGACCCACCAAGAUUCUCCUUCUCCAGCAUCUUCAUCAUCCUCGUCUUCGUCUUCCUCUUCUUGACCGUCUAGUUUUGAUGUCUUGACGAAAGAGUAAGAUGCAAACUUCUCUGAUGUGAUCCAUUUGGAUUUGGGUGUGUUUGCACCGACGUGAAGGUAAAGCCUCACAGCAUUUUUGACAGAAGGGUUCUGGCUUGACGGGUAUUUGAGCUUCAAAGCUUUGAGUUUGGCCUCUACUUCAUCAAGAGAUGAAGGAGUUUUGGCCCUGCGACCUGAUGAUCUGUCAGGGGUGUCAUCUUUGGAAUCUUGGUAGUCUUCCUCCUCUUCUUCACCUUCCUGUUCUUCGUCUUCUGCAUCCGAGUCUGAGAUAUCAAGAUCUUCGCGACUGUGAGCGCCACCCAUUAUUGGGAUGUGUUUAGAAUCAAUUAAAGAUCAGAAUUGAGAGAAGGAAUUGUUUGCUUUUGAGAGAUCGAUGAGACAAAUAAUUUUAAAAAAAAACGGAGAUUGAAAAGUGAAGAGCGCCAAGUUCAAAUUUUGAAAUUGGAGCCUUCAAGCAUGGUUUAUACAAUAAUUUAGGGUUUUGAAUGAAUGAUGUUAGCCAAUCGAAGCGUUGAGGCUGAGGGGGUCACCGGCUACUCCCGGUGUCCGGGGAUCCUACAUUUGUCCAAUCGGGUUAUUCUGUCCAGAUCUGGACCCUGUAUGUACCCGGACUCUAUAUAUAUUUUAAAUUGAUUAUAAUGUUUAAGCAACAAAAAAUGAUUAUGGUUCGCAAUUUAACUCUUAACUUAUAACUAUUUAAAUUAUAAAAUUAAAUUUUAUGACAUAUUAUAAAUAUAGGCCAACAAGAAGAAUAAAUAGUAAAUUGUAUUAUUCAAUUUAAUUGAUGUAAUUCACUUAAUUUUAACUAAAAUAUAUUUAAUAAGAUAACUUAGGUUAUGUUUGGUACAUAAAAAUAUUUUUAAACUUUUAUUUUUUAAAAUUUUUUUAUCUUUAUUUAUGAAAGUAUUUGAAACUUGCAUAUUUAUAGAUUUAAAAAAUAAAAAAAAUUAAUUAUAAUUUUCUACAAGCACUUACACAAUUUUUUAAAAUUAAGAAAUCUUCACCAUCAUUAUUUUUAAUAUUAAUUAAAUUAUAAACUUUUGUAGAUGAACACAUAUAUGUUUAAAAAAUAUAAACUAGUAAGUAAUUUCAUAUACUAUGUGGCAUCAUAAAACGAACAAAAAAGAUUCAAGGUUGUCCCUUUUUUUUUUUUUUUUCUUUUUCGAAGUAAAACCAACGAUCGUUUUGCCACCCGCUAACAAUUUAGUGUAAAUCACAUAAUUACAUGUAGGAAGGUAGUUUGCUGUGUGCAAUCUGUAGACAAGGUUGGUGUAUGUAUAAAUAAGUCAUUAUGAGAAUAAAUGGUCAAAAGAAUUAGCUUUAAGAUAAACUUCCUUGAAAUGUAAGUGACUAACUCCUGAAAAGCCAUCGCCUCCCAUGUCCUUCAUCAUCUCUCGCACUCUCUCUACAUCAUCCCACAUUCCUUUAACAGCAUACAGAUUUGACAUCAAUAUAUAAAGGCCACCAUUUUUGUUAUCCAUUAAAUAUAAUUUCUUAGCUAAACAUUCCCCGAGCUUGACCUCUCUGUGAAUGCAACAAGCACUAAGCAAUGCUCCCCAAACUGCUGAAUCAGGAUCCAUCUUCAUAUUCUUGAUAAACAGAAGUGCCUCCUCAAAUAAGCCUGCACGACCGAGAAGACCAACCAUGCACGUGCAGUGUUGCAAAUCUGGGACUAUACCAAAUUCUUCUGUCAUCAUUUUGAAGUACUUUCUUCCCUCAUGAACAAGACCCGCAUGAGUACAAGCAGCCAGAAGUCCUAAGAAAGUGAUAUCAUCAGGUUUUAAUGCUUGUUCUUGCAUUUUAGAGUAACAAGCCAGAGCUCUGUGCUCAAAUCCACACAAACUGUAGCCUGAUAUCAUUGCAUUCCAGGUUGCCAAACAUGGAAAUUUUAUGCACUCGAACACCCUUUCUGCACCCUCUAUGCUCCCACACUUGGCAUACAUGUUGAUAAGAGCAGUACCAACAAAAUCUUCCACUUGUAGAUUAUUUCGAAGAAGAUAACCAUGAAGUUCCUCUCCAACCUGCAAGUCUCCAAGUUGCGAACACCCUGUUAACAAACUGGCAAUAGUAACCCCAUCUGGACCAUGUCCACAGAGAUUCAUUUGACGGAACACCUCCAUGGCAUCCCUCGCUUUUCCAGCCUGCACCCAGCCAGAUAUCAAUGAGUUCCAACUAGUUAGAGGCUUCUCAUGCAUGUCAGAGAACAAACAGACCAUAGCUUCAAUGUUGUUGAACUUGCAAUACAUAGUUAUCAGUCCAUUUGCAACCAAAUAGUGAGUGCAUAGCCCACUUUUAAUUGCAUAACCAUGGAAAGCAGCCCCAAUAUCCAUGUAACUGAGGUCUGUAAAGCCAUGGAGAAUGCUAACCAUAGCAACAGCAUCCACUUUCAUUUGCAACUGUUGCAUUCGUGCGAAACAUGCCAUGGCCGACUCUGUAUCUCCUUUUUCAACAUAGCUUGAAAUAAUUGCAGUCAAUGAGACCAAAUUCUCCUUGGGCGCUGACCAGUAAAGCCAUUCUGCUGAGUUUGUCUUUCCAAAUCUUGCAUAUGCACAAAUUAAAGAAGUAAGAACAGAAGCAUUAUUAAUGAGGCCAAUUUUAAUAGCAAAACAAUGAAUAGUCUCAGGGUUAGGAUUAGCCAACAGAAGGCUUACAAGACUGACUGAAUUUACUUCCACACCCUCCUCCAGCAUGUAGUUGAAAACAAGCAUAGCCUCAUCAAAAUAACAGUUUUGUCCAUAAGCACCAAUCAUGGUAUUCCAAGAAACUACAUCUUUGGCAAACAUUUCCUCAAACAAUAACUCCGCUGCUUCCAAAUCCAUACACUUAGCGUACAUAGAGGUGAAAGCAUUCUUCACUUGAGAAUCAAAGUGGAGGCCAGUUUUAAUUCCAAAUCCAUGAACGGAUUUCCCUUGAAACACAAUCUCCCGCUGCGCACAAGAAGGAAUCAAGCCAACCAACGUCGUCUCGCGAGGAGAAAAACCCUCUCUGAGCAUUUGAACAAAACUCUCCAGUGCAUCAAAAUCAUAUCCAUUACGUGAAUACCCGCAAAUUAGGGCAUUCCAUGCGACAACAUCUCUCUCAGGCAUAUCAUCGAACAACAGUCGUGCAACUUUAACGCAAUUCAAUUUCGUAUACAAGUCAAGGGUAGCUGUAGUUAUAUAAACAAACUGAUCAACACCCGAUUUUACCAUGUGCGUUCGAAUUUGAUCGGCUUCUAGCGUUGGACUAAUUGAAUCAUAAACAGAGAAUAGUGAAGGAGAUGAAGUAGAGGCUUUGAGGAAUAAAGAGAAAGUGAAGUCAUUUGGUUUCAAAUUGAACUGUAACAGUUGGCGGAAAAUAAUCAACGGGGAUUCUGGGUUUUUGCCUUCAAUGCAGGAUUUGAGUAGAGAGUGGAAAAAAGAAAGAGAACUGGAAUUGAUCAGAUUCAUAAGAAUAGAAUCAAAAUAUCCUCUGUUAAGACAAGUCCAAACGGAAAAAAGACAGUCCAAGUCUUCCGCCCAGUUUCAGGAAGUGUUUUAAGUGAAAACUACUUUGAUAUAUAUAUAUACACACACAUAUAUGUUUAUAUAUAUAUAUAUAUAUAUAUAUAGUGGCGAAAGUAGAAAAUUGAGCUUUUCUUCUUUUUCUGAAGAAAGUAGAAAAUUGAGUUAGAGGAGAAAAAUUUGUCAUUCAAAAUAAAUUUGGGUCUGACAUGAUAAAAUAUUAUAUUAUUUCCCGUUUAUUUUUUUUAUUUUUGGUUGAAUGGUAAAUAUUGUUACAAUUUUGUGUGUUUUUAUUAGAUGUUGUUUUAUAAUUAGUAUAUAUGUAUUAAUUAAUUAAUUAAUGUACGAAUUUUUAUUUAAAAAACAUUUAUUUACGUUUUCAUAAAACUUUUUUAUUAAAAAUUAGAGAAAUAAGAUAUUGAAAAAUACUUUUGUUUUAUUUAACGUAAUUCUUUAGUAACUAAAAAAUUAAAGAGAAAAGAAUAAGGGAAUUAGAUAAAAGUUUAAUUUUAUUUGAUAUUAUAUAUUUUUAAUUUCAAAAAAAGAAUGAGAUUAUUCAGUGAUUUUUGAAGAAAAUGAAAAAUUAUUUAUUAAAUUUUAUUACUUUUACAUAAACUCAUGUUUUGGAGGAAUCUCCCCUCCAUAUUACUAAAUUAUUAUUAUUAUUAUUAUUAUUAUAUUGUUAUUAUUACUAUAAGGGCAUUCUUGUCAUUUCAUAUCUUCUCCCAUACAGCAUAGUCCUUUCCGGCGCCGUUUGGAACCAGCUUGAAAUUCGGAGGAAUAAGAUUUCCAAGACCCCCAUUUGGCCCAAUUUUCAUUAUGAUUUUCUCAUCGAUCUCCGCCACGUACAGAUCAGAUUGUGCCGCUAGAAUCUUAACCCUGCUUCUUUCAUUGAUCCCGUGCUUCUUCCUAAUCGCCAAAAUGUUGGUAAUCGGCUCCUUUAAGCCCCACUCAAAGUAAUGAUCAUAAAACUGCAAAAACCAGAACCAGUUUAUUUUUUCCUUGCGAAUUUCAGACCUACCUAAAUACUUUCCGAAUCGGCCGUGGAAUAUGAGUAAAUUAAAGGGUAGAGAACAGGAAGAACUUACAAUGGUGGGAGUGCCAGGGUGGGUGAGGAUAUAAACAUAACCCAGCAUCACUUUAUCACUUGGGAAUUUGCAAAAAUCUUGAGACCAAGUGUCGUGAUUGUCGAUGAACGUCACCGCUUUCUCCGGCAAAACUCCGAGCAAUCCCGGCGGUUUUCCGUCGGUGUUAUUCAACCGGAACAACUCUCCCGUCACCGCAACCUGAAGAGAUUCCUUCAAAGGAAAAUCAAAUGCAGCCACCACUCCGCCGGCAUCCUGAAUCCACUUCCGCAGCUCAUCGCGCUUUCUGUUAUCUCCCGGAGGGAGCUUUUCGUUACAGGGAGGAUGCCAAUACUCUGCAACUGCCAAAUCGGGUUUUGUCCGAUCCACGUAAAUUUUGGUAAUGCUUGGCGCGAACCCUACUGCGUAAUCAAUUCGCCAUCCGCCAUUAAAACCGACUUCUGUUUUCAACCAAUUGAGCCAAUCCGAUAGCUCGUUUUGCACUCUGGGAUUGGUAUGGUCAAUGUCAAUGGCGAAAGGGAAGUCAUCGCCGGUGUCUGGAUUGCCGGUGCCGUGAGGGAAGUUCUUGUCGGUGCUACAGACCAUGGCGGGUCCCCAGUCAAGACGAUCAUCUGGUGUCCCUCCUUCGAAGAAUAUAUCGGUCUCUGUCUGGCGCUCUGGGCUUCUGUGGUUAAUUACAAUGUCAGCCAUGCAUUUUAUCCCGCUUUGAUGAUAAGCUGCAAUGAGUGAGCUGAGUUGAUCCCGAGUUCCGUAGUUUGAGUUGAGAUCAUACAGCUUUGCUGGUUUGUAACCUUGGGGUGCAUCGGCGCCGGAAUUAGAAGGAGGCGGCAGCCAGACAUGAGUAAUCCCGGCAUUAGCAAUAUCAGUAGCAGAGUUCUUCAAGAAAUUGUAUAAUUCUCCUCGUUUUUCCGAUGAGGCCCAAGUGAAACCCUGUUACAUUACACAGCGAAGGAGUCUAACUUCGUAAUAUGGCAAUACCAUGACUAGAAAGAAACCUAGAGAAAACGAAGAAGAAGAUGGAGAGAUACCUGAAACAGAACUGCUGGAGAUACGAAAGCAGGGAAGAUAGAGGAUAAGAGGAAGAGGAAGCAAAGUGAAGUGAUGACUGAACUCAUCUUGUUUUAUUUUGUGUUUGAGUAGAUGCAUAUGAUGGUAUAUUUAUAGGCACAUGAUGGAUCCCAUGUUGAUGACGCUGUAAUAUCUGUUCGUAUGCCACCUUUGGGUAAUUUUCCAUUGACUUUGGAAAUAAUUUUUGGUUAUAUAUAAUACAAUUCAAAAACAAAUUAAUCUUGCCCACAUUGAAAUUUUACAUACAUUAAAAAUAAGAACCAACAAAAAAGAAAAAAAAGAUUUGGAUGAGGUUACUCUUGUUAUAUUUUUGUUCUUAAAUCCUAGUUUGUUUUAUAUAAAAUAAUUAUAGUAAUUUACAUAUUCGAUGCAUAACGAUAUCAAAAUAAUCAUAAUUCAUAUUAUGUUUUUAGUUAUGUUUUACUUAUUUAAUAAAAUAAUUAAUGUUUAUAAAUAUAUUUAUUUCUUUUAUAUCGACUCAAAUUUAUAAUACUAUCAGAGUGAAACAUAAGAUUUAAAAAAGAAUAGAUGUUAAACUUUAUUAGUGACAAAUAAAUUUUUUGCAUGUGAAAAAUCUCAAUAUAAUUUUAAAAAUUAAGAAUUAAUCGCAAAAAUUUUAGACGAUCUAAAAAAUACGAAAUUAUGAUUAACUUUAUAAAUUGUCUUGGGUACUGAGCAUUUACUUAUAAGAAUUAAAUUUCUCGCAAUAACUAGCUGCAACAACUUCAUAACUAGGAAUUUGGUAGAUUAUUUCUUACGUAUAGAAUCAUUCAUAUUUUAAAUUAUAUAUAAUAAAUUUUCUAAUCUCGUAUGUUAAUGAACAAAUUACAAAAACAUCUACUAUGAAUUUAUAUAAUUAAAUUAGAAUUAUGAUUUUAUUUUAUUUUUAUAAAAUUUUAUAUUUUGGAUCUUGUAUGUUUAGAUAAAUAUAUAUUUAUCUAAAAUAUAUACAAUAAGAUGAGAUCGGUUCAAUCUUUUUAGUAACAGAUUAAAUAGACUUUAAUUAUAAUUUAACUAAUAUAUAAUAAUACGAACAGUACUUUAUUGAAAUCAUAUUAACAUAGAAAUCUAGAAACAAAAUAAUAAUAAUAAUAACUAAUACAUGGAUCCUUAACCUUCUGUCGUUCUUCGUGAACGAUUAAUACACGUAUCCUUAAAGUGUUUAAUCCAUUUUAACUUGCGUUUGAUAGUCAAAGUUAUGUUUCUAAAGUCAGUAUAAUCUUCCUUGACAAAACUUGGUUUUAAUUCAACGUAUUCUGGUUGUAAUCUUCAUUUAGAAAAACCAACUCUUUGACUAGAGACUGAUUCGCAGAUUCAUGAUUGUAUAAUACUGUAAAAAUAGAAAAAGGACCCAAAUAUAUAUAUAUAUACAUAUAUGUGUGUGUGUAUAAAGGGGCAAGCUUAAUUAUUUUGAAUUUUCACCAACUUAAUUCGGCAAUUCCUUUCUUGACAAGUUCAAUUUCCAAACUCCAGGUCACAAAGUUUGACUCAAGUGUAUUACACAAAUACAAAUUAGAUUUAUCUUCGUGUCAGCUUAAUUUACAGUAUAAAAAUAAUAUUUAAAUAAAUAUAUAUAUAUAUAUAUAUAAGAAUUAAAUUUAUAAUCUCUCAUAAAUAAAUUAUUUAAUUAACCAAUCGGUAAUCACUUUCUAAUCAUUUUUGAUAAAUUUAUUAUAAAUUAAAACUAAAUACAAUCACGUUAUGCUAUUCGUUACUAAAAUGUGUAUUCACAUAUACUAUGGUUAAACGAAUUAACAGAAUUUUAUUUUUUAUUUAAAUAAGAUGCAAUAAAAAUAAUUUUCUAUUUCUAUUCCGUGUAAUAAUAUUGAUUAAACUAUUUACGGAAUUAAUUAAUUAAUUUCAUUUAAAUUAAAUGUAAUAUAUGAGAUAUAUUGUUAAUGUCACAGUAGUUCGNNNNNNNNNNNNNNNNNNNNNNNNNNNNNNNNNNNNNNNNNNNNNNNNNNNNNNNNNNNNNNNNNNNNNNNNNNNNNNNNNNNNNNNNNNNNNNNNNNNNNNNNNNNNNNNNNNNNNNNNNNNNNNNNNNNNNNNNNNNNNNNNNNNNNNNUUAAUGCACAUCUCUUGUGAUAUGAAAUUUAUUUGUUUUUAAAUAAUUAAAGGAUAUAAAUUAAUUUACAAAUUUAAAAUAGAAACUAACAGGGUUUAGUUCGCCAUCCUCUAUUGAUCUUGAACUUGUUUCUCAUCUCCCUCUCACUUGAAUGAAGAUGAAUUGAGGUGAGUUUCACGUGCUAAGUAAGAAAAAAAAAAUCUAUAAUGUAGGAUUUACGUACAUACAUUCACGCAAUAUAUAAAAUAUAAUAAUUUUUAUCAUCAAAAAAAUGUCAAAUAAGCAUCACAACCAAAAUACAUAAUAAAACAAAUCAUCGCACAAAAUAUAUUUUAAUCUUCACUUUUUAAACCUAAUUCUUGUUAUCUUUUCAAAUUACACUCAUGCAUUCAUAGAUUCUUCAAACAAAAACGGAUUUACUCACACACACAUAUCACUCAACUCGAAUUUAUAAUUUUAUAUUAUUUAGCCUUUUAAAGCUUAAUUAGAUUACCAUCGCGCGAUACCCGUUAUAUCAUUAUCGAAUAUAGGAUCCCUCCAUCGCAUGUAUAACACAAAAAAAAAAAAAUCUCAUAUUGGCCACAGAAGUUACGUUUGCUAGGUGACCUACGCUCAUAAACACAUAUCCACGUAUAGACUAAGUUUCAAACUCUAUCUAUGUGCAGGUUCACCAUACCAGCUGAACUUCAGCCAUACACGCACCUUUCCCUCCUCGAUUUACGACUAACAAAUGACGUGUUUUAUUUACUCUUUACAGUUUUCUUAUGAUUGCCUUCCUAGUGGCUUAUUAAGUCUAUUUCUCUAGCUAACUUACACUUAUCAAUUUCUUUGGUGUUUGUUUUCCAGAUGUAUUUAACUUAUUUAGUUUUUUAUUUAAAAAUCUAAAAUUUAUAUUAAUUUAAGGUAUUAACUUUCCAUGCACAAUUAAAUACAAACAUACAUAUAAUAUACGAUAUUAUCAUGCACAUCAGAACUAUACAUGUCAAAAAACUUUCUGAAUCAUCAUAUAUCAGAUCACACAGCAAGCACAAGAUACUCAAAUUUUUCGCGCAACUGUACCAGAUCAUACAGUAAGUACAGUGCACCAUACAUCUACAUCAGAUCACACAGCUAGUGCAAUGUAUCCAAAUUUCAUAAGUACAUACACUGGUUAUACAUUUUACAUACAUAACAUAUGUACACACAUUUUAAUACACACAUAUAUUAUAAUACAGAUAUGUACCAUCACUACAUGUCUCACACAGAAUAUAUAUUUAUAUUUACAUACACACAAACAAUUUCUAUCGAUAUAUAUACACACGUUCAUAUUUAAACAUGUAUACACAAUCACACACAACAUACCAGAUAUAUAUAUAUAUAUAUAUUUAUUCAUGCAUUUGUUCUUAUUAACUCUAUUCAAAUUAAUUCAUCGUAUAUUUUUAUCUAUAUACACAUAUACAUGCGUAAUAACGUGUAUAUAUACACUAUAUAAAUAUAUACAAAUACAAAUUAAAUAUACUAAUUAUAUUUAUAUUACAUUACCCAUACAUUUAAAUAUUCAUACAUAAUGCAUAUUAUAUAUACACAUUUAUAUAAAUAUAUAAUUUAUGUAUUUGUACAAAAUACGCAUAAUUUUUACCUAUGAUAUGAUCGGAAAAACUUUAAAAAUUAUUUUUACCUUGAUCUACAGUUAUAUCAGAAAUUCGAAUAUGGUUUGAAUAAUUUUAUUCGUUUAUAAUAAAAAAAUACAUAUAUUAAAUUAUGAAUAAUUUUAAAAAUUAUACCGAAAAAUGAAUUUUACCUUGAAACACGUGAUCUCGAUUGUUAACAUUACCACGCGACAUCAUACGCAUGUCACCGAAAAUGUUAUACAAUGAUAAUCGAAUCAACGCGCGUUGUCGCAUGUGACACACCAACAUUUCGCCGCACUUACAUUUUUCUUCCUUAAUUUAAUUAAUUUUUUUAUUUUUUGCCCUUUUUUUAUUUUCUUUCAUCAUUUUUUUUCUUUUAUUCCUUUUUUUUUUUUCUCUUCUCCUUUUUCCUUCCUUCUUCUUCUUCCUCCUUUCCCGUAGCUUCCUUUUUUUUUUUUUUCUUUCUUCUUCCUUUUUCUUCUUCCUUUGUUUUUUUUUUCCUUUCUUCCUCUCUUCUUCUUCUUCUUUUUCUUUUUUUCUCUCUCUCUCUCUCUCUCUCUCUCUCUCUCUCUCUCUCUCUCUCUCUCUCUCUCUCUCUCUCUCUCCUUCCUGCGACGUCUCCCCUUCUGCCGCGUCUCACCUCCGCGACUGCCACUCACUCCUCCUCCUCACGCGGCCACGGCUCCUUCCCUCACUCCGCUCUCCCGGUCCCGAUCCUCACUCAACUUGGCCUCCUCUCUCACCCGCUCGAACUCAGCUCUCUUCCCCU
rnacentral:lncRNA from 1 species